rnacentral:rRNA from 1 species
GUUUAGGGGUAAACCUGAGAAACCCGAAAGGUCGAAGGAAGAAAUUCAUUCGCGUUUCGCCGCGGGCGUCGAGCGGGAUCGUGUGACGGGGAGCGUUCGCGCGUUUCCCGCGCCUCCCGUUCUUCGAACCGGUGACGAACGCGUGCACUUUUCUUCUGGUAGGACGUCGCGAUCCGUUGGGUGUCGGUCUACGGCACGCGGUGGAGCCCGUUCGUCGUAUUUCUAGUACGUACGGAUGGACCCGCGUGUUCCGGCCGACUCGCUCGACGGUAUACGAAAGGUUUAAGGCCGCUCUCGGAGCGUUCGGCUCGUGGCAAGCGCGCCAGAUGCGUCGGCGAUCGGACCUAGUGCCGUUUCUGACCUCUGGUGACUGUUGGCCGCGAAGUUCUCGAACAGACCUUAAGACCGAUCAGCGACGCUAUAGCUUUGGGUACUUUCAGGACCCGUCUUGAAACACGGACCAAGGAGUCUAGCAUGUGCGCGAGUCAUUGGGAAUCACUAAACCUAAAGGCGCAAUGAAAGUAAAAGUCUUCCUCGCGAAGACUCAGGGAAGACGGGCGGUUACGUUCGCGCGUCACCGUCCAGCACUCCCGGGGCGUCUCCAUCUCAUCGCGAGAAGAGGCGCACCAAGAGCGUACACGCUGGGACCCGAAAGAUGGUGAACUAUGCCUGGUCAGGACGAAGUCAGGGGAAACCCUGAUGGAGGUCCGUAGCGAUUCUGACGUGCAAAUCGAUCGUCGGAACUGGGUAUAGGGGCGAAAGACUAAUCGAACCAUC